UACGGGGGGGGCAAGCGUUGUUCGGAAUUACUGGGCGUAAAGGGCUCGUAGGCGGCCAACUAAGUCAGACGUGAAAUCCCCAGGCUCAACCUGGGAACUGCGUCUGAUACUGGAUGGCUUGAAUUCGGGAGAGGGAUGCAGAAUUCCUGGUGUAGCGGUGAAAUGCGCAGAUAUCAGGAGGAACACCGAUGGCGAAGGCAGCUCACUGGGACGGUACUGACGCUGAGGCGCGAAAGCGUGGGGAGCAAACAGG
rnacentral:rRNA from 1 species